AUACGGAUGGUGCGAGCGUUGUUCGGAAUUACUGGGCGUAAAGGGCGCGUAGGCGGCGAUGUAAGUCAAAUGUGAAAGUCCUCGGCUUAACCGGGGAAGUGCAUCUGAAACUGCAUUGCUUGAGUAUGGGAGAGGAAAGUGGAACUCCCGGUGUAGAGGUGAAAUUCGUAGAGAUCGGGAGGAAUACCGGUGGCGAAGGCGACUUUCUGGACCAAUACUGACGCUGAGGCGCGAAAGCGUGGGGAGCAAACAGGAUUAGAAACCCUAGUAGUCC
rnacentral:rRNA from 1 species